UACGAAGGAUUCGAGCGUUAUCCGGAUUUAUUGGGUUUAAAGGGUGCGUAGGUGGACUAAUAAGUCAGUGGUGAAAGCCCGCAGCUUAACUGCGGAACUGCCAUUGAUACUGCUAGUCUUGAGUACAGUUGAGGUGGGCGGAAUGUGUCAUGUAGCGGUGAAAUGCUUAGAUAUGACACAGAACACCGAUUGCGAAGGCAGCUGGCUACACAUAUAUUGACACUGAGGCACGAAAGCGUGGGGGAUCAAACAGG
rnacentral:rRNA from 1 species